rnacentral:rRNA from 1 species
CCUACGGGAGGCAGCAGUGGGGGAUAUUGCACAAUGGGGGAAACCCUGAUGCAGCGACGCCGCGUGUGGGAAGACGGUCCUCUGGCUUGUAAACCACUGUCACCAGGGACGAAGAUGACGGUACCUGGGGAGGAAGCUCCGGCUAACUACGUGCCAGCAGCCGCGGUAAUACGUAGGGAGCGAGCGUUGUACGGAAUGACUGGGGGUAAAGGGCGCGUAGGCGGGGAUGCAAGUUGGGUGUCAAAACUACCGGCUCAACUGGUAGUCGCACUCAAAACUGCAGCUCUUGAGUGAAGUAGAGGCAGGCGGAAUUCCUAGUGUAGCGGUGAAAUGCGUAGAUAUUAGGAGUAACACCAGUGGCGAAGGCGGCCUGCUGGGCUUUUACUGACGCUGAGGCUCGAAAGUGUGGGGAGCAAACAGGAUUAGAUACCCUUGUAAUC